rnacentral:rRNA from 1 species
GAUGAACGCUGGCGGCGUGCCUAAUACAUGCAAGUCGAGCGAACAGAUGAGGAGCUUGCUCCUCUGACGUUAGCGGCGGACGGGUGAGUAACACGUGGAUAACCUACCUAUAAGACUGGGAUAACUUCGGGAAACCGGAGCUAAUACCGGAUAAUAUAUUGAACCGCAUGGUUCAAUAGUGAAAGACGGUUUUGCUGUCACUUAUAGAUGGAUCCGCGCCGCAUUAGCUAGUUGGUAAGGUAACGGCUUACCAAGGCAACGAUGCGUAGCCGACCUGAGAGGGGUGUGCGCCCCCACUGACCCUGCGCCCCGGCCCGACCCCCACCGGAGGGGCCCGGUAGGAAUCUUUCCGCAAGGCGCGAAGGCCUGACGGGCCACCCCGGGGGGAUUGAGAAGGGUCUCGGGUUCUAAAACCUUUUUUAUGGGGAAAAAAAAAUUGUGAAAAUACCUCUGCACGUUUUGAGGUUCCCAAAUAGGAAGCCCCCGCCUCACUCCGGC